rnacentral:rRNA from 1 species
GAUAAACGCUGGCGGCGCACAUAAGACAUGCAAGUCGAACGAGCGAGAGAGGGUUUGCUUUCUCGAGCGAGUGGCGAACGGGUGAGUAACGCGUGAGGAACCUGCCUCAAAGAGGGGGACAACAGUUGGAAACGACUGCUAAUACCGCAUAAGCCCACAGCUCGGCAUCGAGCAGAGGGAAAAGGAGUGAUCCGCUUUGAGAUGGCCUCGCGUCCGAUUAGCUGGUUGGUGAGGUAACGGCCCACCAAGGCGACGAUCGGUAGCCGGACUGAGAGGUUGAACGGCCACAUUGGGACUGAGACACGGCCCAG